ACUACGGGAGGCAGCAGUGAGGAAUAUUGGUCAAUGGCCGGAAGGCUGAACCAGCCAUGCCGCGUGAAGGGCAGGGACCUAUGGGCGUUAAACUUCUUUUGUGCGGGAGCAAUAAUGGUCACGUGUGGCCAGACGAGAGUACCGUACGAAUAAGCAGCGGCUAACUCCGUGCCAGCAGCCGCGGUAAGACGGGGGGUGCAAGCGUUAUCCGGAUUUAUUGGGUUUAAAGGGUGCGUAGGCUGUGAGGUAAGUCAGCGGUGAAGUGCCCCCGCUCAACGGGGUGAAGUGCCAUUGAUACUGGCUUGCUGGAAUGCGGCUGCGGUGAGAGGAAUGUGUGGUGUAGCGGUGAAAUGCAUAGAUAUCACGCAGAACACCGAUUGCGAAGGCAUCUCACGAAUCCGCGAUUGACGCUGAUGCACGAAAGCGUGGGUAUCAAACAGGAUUAGAUACCCGGGUAGUC
rnacentral:rRNA from 1 species